ACGCUGGCGGCGUGCCUAAUACAUGCAAGUAGAACGCUGAAGCUUGGUGCUUGCACCGAGCGGAGGAGUUGCGAACGGGUGAGUAACGCGUAGGUAACCUGCCUCUUAGCGGGGGAUAACUAUUGGAAACGAUAGCUAAUACCGCAUAAAAGUCGACAUCGCAUGAUGUUGACUUGAAAGGUGCAAAUGCAUCACUAAGAGAUGGACCUGCGUUGUAUUAGCUAGUUGGUGAGGUAACGGCUCACCAAGGCGACGAUACAUAGCCGACCUGAGAGGGUGAUCGGCCACACUGGGACUGAGACACGGCCCAGACUCCUACGGGAGGCAGCAGUAGGGAAUCUUCGGCAAUGGGGGCAACCCUGACCGAGCAACGCCGCGUGAGUGAAGAAGGUUUUCGGAUCGUAAAGCUCUGUUGUAAGAGAAGAACGGGUGUGAGAGUGGAAAGUUCACACUGUGACGGUAACUUACCAGAAAGGGACGGCUAACUACGUGCCAGCAGCCGCGGUAAUACGUAGGUCCCGAGCGUUAUCCGGAUUUAUUGGGCGUAAAGCGAGCGCAGGCGGUUAGAUAAGUCUGAAGUUAAAGGCUGUGGCUUAACCAUAGUACGCUUUGGAAACUGUUUAACUUGAGUGCAGAAGGGGAGAGUGGAAUUCCAUGUGUAGCGGUGAAAUGCGUAGAUAUAUGGAGGAACACCGGUGGCGAAAGCGGCUCUCUGGUCUGUAACUGACGCUGAGGCUCGAAAGCGUGGGGAGCAAACAGGAUUAGAUACCCUGGUAGUCCACGCCGUAAACGAUGAGUGCUAGGUGUUGGGUCCUUUCCGGGACUCAGUGCCGCAGCUAACGCAUUAAGCACUCCGCCUGGGGAGUACGACCGCAAGGUUGAAACUCAAAGGAAUUGACGGGGGCCCGCACAAGCGGGU
rnacentral:rRNA from 1 species